rnacentral:rRNA from 1 species
AUUGAACGCUGGCGGCAGGCCUAACACACGCAAGUCGAACGAGUGGAGGACGGGUGAGUAAUGUCUGGGAAACUGCCCGAUGGAGGGGGAUAACUACUGGAAACGGUAGCUAAUACCGCAUACCAUCGGAUGUGCCCAGAUGGGAUUGGCCAGUAGGUGGGGUAACGGCUCACCUAGGCGACGAUCCCUAGCUGGUCUGAGAGGAUGACCAGCCACGCUGGGACUGAGACACGGUCCAGACUCCUACGGUAGGCCGCAGUGGGGAAUAUUGCACAUUGGGCGCAAACCUGAUGGAGCCAUGCCGCGUGUAUGAAGAAGGCCUUCGGGGUGUAAAGUACUUUCAGCGAGGAGGCGUUACUCGCAGAAUGAGCACCGGCUAGCUCCGUGCCAGAGGCCGCGGUAAUUC